rnacentral:lncRNA from 1 species
GCUAAAUCCCCAGCCCCCAGGCAGAGACUCUUAGUAGAUGACAAACCUGCGGACACCUCGACCCAGCCCUCUCGGAGUCCAGAGCCUGAGAAACACCUUUCUGCCGUCUACAAAGUACCCGGUCUGCUAUUUUGUAACAACGGCCCCAACAGACGGAGACAACAGGGAAAUAAUGAAGUCUCAGGAAAAGUAAAACCCGUUUCCGGCCGCCCGCCCAGCUCAGCUCCCGCGGAGGGUGUGCGCACCCACAGUCCCCAUCUCCCUCGCAGGAGCAGCACAAAGGUUGCGGGGGGAUCAGACGGCAGGACCACCCCAGUCCCGGCCCCGCGGAGCCCCGCAGCCCGAUGGCGGCCCCGGGUCGGCCCGCGCCUCCCCCUCGGUGAGUUGUGCCCAGGACCCUGGGCGCUAAAGACAAAGGUCCAAGGGAUCCACAUCCAAGGAGUCACUGAGGUGGUCUGGGGGCACCGCAGGUCCCGGAUGCUGCUUAGUCAGCCUUCAGUGACAUAUGGAGCCACAAACAGAUGGUCAGUGUCACCAUGAUGUGUCCUCUGGUGGAAGCCUUUCUCCCAUGGUCACCAGAUCUCCAAAGCUAUGAAGCCAAGAAAGCAGAGAUAGAAGCAUCAAUUCCUGAUGUGGGGUACUUCGGGCAAACGGCACUUCCCCUGCAUUUCUCUGUGGUUGUUUUUCUCAUAAACAGGAAAAAAAAAAAACAAAAGCCUCUGUACCUUGAGGUAUGCCAGAAUAACUAGGUUAUAGUCUUUACAAUAAGUAAAGCAAUGAGAAUUUUCUGUCAGUUGCUGAUUUUCUAACAAAAAGAAUUUCAACCUUGACCUCUCUAACUGAAGACAUCGGUAGAUAUACCAUGCCUUUGUGAAUGUGGUAAUAUGUGAGAAAACUAUGCUUCAUCCGUCAUAAACAGAUUAAGUGCAAACUCAUUAACCUUGACAGUUGUGUAGGAGUUUUUCCCAUAUGAAUGCCUGUUAUGAACUGACUUGCUGGGCCUUCUGAAGCUGACUCUACUGCACUUGUUUCUUGCAGGAACAUUUUUGUUUUCUUUUCCAAAGCUUUUGUCAUCUGUUCUUCCUUUCACUUAUUCCUGAACACCUCUGUGAUAUGUCAGUUCCCUGGACUUUUCUACCACUUAUUUCUCAGCCUGAGAUUUGCAUGCAUCUGCAAACGUUGUUUGCUACAUUUAACUUUUAAGAUCUAGUUACUGUGAUGGUAUCAUAAUGGACCAGUGUGACAUUCUAUGGAUUACUAGAUGAUCAGAAUCUCUCUAAAGAAUCUCUUCAAGACAAGAGAGCAAUCAUAGCUUGGAAUUAGAGCACUAAGAGUAUAUUAUUGUUUCUGCCACAAGGCAACAGCAUUAAACAAUUAUCCUCAAUACAAUUUAGAAAAAAGUGGUAGGUCAAUAGUUGAAUUUCCAGUGCCAGAUACUACAUUGAUGUGUUUUAGCUAAAAUAUUACAUCUGAGCAACAUCACUAUAUGAAUAAGUGGGCAAUAGUGCCUGGUCACCCUCUAAGAUCCUUUCAAGUUUUGCCUUACUCAUAAAGGAGAGUUAAAUGUUAUCAGGACCCCUGGAGUGAGUCCCCAGUUUCCUGCAAAGCAUUACAGUGCAUGGCAAAAAGAAACAGCAAGAGACAAAUAGCAAUGCAGUGGAGCUCUGGGAUGGUUAGCAUUCUUGGGGAAUAGAAGGCCACGAGGCAGCUAGAACCUUAGUAUUUAUUGAUCACAUUCACACUGAGGAAAAUGGUGAUGGGAUUAUGGCCGGAUGUGCUAGAAAGUGGCAGGGCAGGCAAGGCUUGUAACCGAGGGAACAGAGCAUGCUUGUGAAAGGGACAGAGCAGCCAGAUUGAGGGUUGCAGUUAACGAGUAAACUGUUUUGUAGUCAGUUCUGGGAAGCAGUUUUCUCUGGAGUCACACGGGCCUCAGAGGAGGCGUUACCUCAUAUCUCAGCUCCACAGCCUCACAGCCCGCUUCUCUGGGCUUAACUGUGGCCAUUGUCAAGGAGCAGUGCUAGCCCAACACGCCACCCGCUUGCUUCCAUGAGGACACAUGCACAGCCUCAGCUAGACUCACCGUUUAAACCGAAAGCGAAUUUAUAGAAGUCCCCUCUACACAGUCUGCCCUGCUUGCACGUGAGCCCUGUCACGUUUAGGUCUGCAGGAGGGUAAUGUGGAGGUCCUCCACAAAGUGGAAUACACCACAAAUCACGACUUUAAGAGCCUUGCAGUGAUAUUCACUUUUACCACUGAAGAGCUUUAUUAAUUUCUGAAAUUAUCCUAGGAAUAUGGAAUUACCUUGUUAAAUAACUUGGGAAAUGAGCCCUCAAGGAACAUCCUGCCAUCUGGCUUCUGCCAAAAUAGCAUUCCUGUAAUAGUAGGAGAGCAGUGCUGGACUAGCAAGCUAGUCUCAGUUACACUCUGGGACUCAGAAAAUUACUACAAGGUGUGUCUACAAUACCUUAAGAUCUAGUGUGAGUUGAGUUCAUGUUGAGACAGUGUUUCACCUGUGUUAGAUCUGGUACAUGCUCUGAGUGAUGGGUUACAAAGCCUUAGGAUCUAAGAGUAAGGGUGUGAAUAGUAUGGUUUUGCUAGUGCACAAUGACUCUGGCAAAUGGAAACAUCUAUCUAUCUAUCUAUCUAUCUAUCUAUUAUCUAUCUAUCUAUUGUUUAUCUAUCUAUCUAUCUAUCUUACACUCCUACAUAUAAUCAAAGAAAUAAAUAUACAUGAAUAAUAUACACAUAUAUAUUUUCCAUGUGUUACUGAGAAGACCUAAAAGCAGUAAAUACCUAGGGAAAGCUUACAGGAAGAGUCCCAGCACACACACAAGAAAAGGUGAAGGCCAUGGCAGUGUCUUGUGUGGUAUGAUGAUGACAGAUAUGUGAUCAUGCACUUGCUGAAAGUCAUGGAGCUAUAUACCACAAAGACUGAAGCUAGCUGUAUGCAGAUAUAAAAUGAACCAUACAGACUAUUUGGAGAUGGUAUUAUUGGAUGCACACUAUAAUAAAUAGAUCUAGCUACAUUAUAAAUGUAUAUCACCUCACUAACCAAAGUGGGGCAAAUGAGCAAACUUUGGAAAAGAGUAUUUUCAAUGGAUGCUAUAUAGUACAGGAAAAAAGACUAUAAAUAAACAUUAUAUUACUGG